rnacentral:lncRNA from 1 species
AUCAGAGAAGAAAACAUUUGGAGCCAUGACCAUAAACAAACAGGAACAAAAAGGAACUGCUAAAGGUAACAGCCUGAAGCAAUAUCUAAAAGAAGAUUAUGAAAUCUGCAAUGAAUCUUUAAACAAACAAGAUUAAUAUCACUUGCAUUUAGCUUGGAGAGUUCGACAGACAACUAAGCUUAAAAUUUGUAAGAGAAUUUAACAAAGUUUCUGAACUUGUUAUAAACAUAACCUAAGUAUUCACUAAAUAAGCCCCGAGUUCUAGACCAUUCUAUAUUAGAAGGCUGCAGCAGACUUAUAUAAGGAAAUUCAAUCAUAUUCAUGUCAAACUUUGUUUUAACCAAACCCACAAAAAUUUUCUUUGCCAUACUUUUCUUCUACAAUUUUAAGCUCGAGUUCAAAGUUACAGUAAUGACUUAAAGAAGAACCAACAACGCCAAAUAUUUGGCUGACACCCUCUUCCAUUGUGGUGCCAUAUGCUCCUCCAAAACACUGCUGCUAAGGUUUUAGCGAAGUCAAGGUUUUCUUCCAUGUCAGCCUAAAGCAUUAUUUGACUCACAAACAAAGCCACACUAUGAAGUCUAGUCGGAAAAAAAAAAGAAAAAACACUCCCAAACAGCUAUAAUAUUUUAUCUGAGUAUUAGCAAUGUCAAUGUCAACCAAAUGUAUAUACUGCUCCCACCUUCCCCAGAGCUUCCAUUCUCUGCAUCAAUAUGUUAGUAUUUUAACAUCUCUCCUUCGUACUUUUGGCUCAUAUUUUUCUUCUUUGUUUUUCGCAAUUUACUGCUCCCACUUUGUCCUUAAGCGUGGAAAAUUUUCCUCGAAACAUCUUUGAAAACAACACAAGAAUAUAUUCCUUACAUUCUCUGUAUCAAUAUGAGGCUCGGCAUGGAACUGAACCAACAGUGGAGCACUCGAAAAUGCUUUGAAGCAUCUGCUAUGUCCAUAUUCUGGAGACCAAGGGAGAUAAGCUAGAAUAGAAGGCAAGAAU